rnacentral:lncRNA from 1 species
AUAAAAAAAGGAUCUGGUUGGUAGAGUAAAGUGUUCGCAUUUUAAGAAGUACAGUUCUUUCAAAAGACACUGUUUCAGAUGAGUUUGGCUUGUCGCUGCUAGGACACUUGCAUGUUUAUUGUGCAUUUCACCUACGCUGUGCUGGCAUGCAGGUAGAUCAUACUUCAAAAGAGCUUCAAACAGACUGAUGCGGAGAAAUAUCACAUGGAGUAAUAAAUGUUGUUGCACAGCAGCAAUAAUACCAACAAGAGUGAUUAAUUCAUUAAAUGCAGCGUACGUGCUGCAGGGAAACAGGAGCAUCUGCAUGUGUGGCACAGCGAGGGAUGUAGUUGGUACUUGCCCUCUGCUCCUGGUGUGGAUGCUGCUGGUGCCUCACUGACCUGCCCCAGCUUUUUGGGGGCACCAGGCCUGCUUCAGCCAAAGUCAAUCAGCACAUGCACUGUGGAGAAACCUGUUACAAAUACAGCACCCAGCCCUGCAGAGCUCCUUGCUCAGGAAUAAUGAGCAAUCACAGAAAGGCAGGGCUGCAAUCUACCUUGACAGUGCAAUUCUUUCCUGUAUUCAGCUUUCAGGUGGCCAGACAAAAUGUGGCGGGACAGCAGGGAAACAUCAGAGGAGAUGCUGCAUACAUGGUGCAGAGGGGAACAUGCAGGACCUCGAAGACAAGGGAAAGAUCUUCAAUUAAAGUGUAAAAGGAUAAAUGAUGGGUGGAGGGGGCUGGUGACUGCAGUGGCGGGAGGAAGUCUUCUGGCAGACCAGAGAGGACUGAGCCUGGGACAGGCAUGAUGAUUUGGUAAAGGGAAGGGGGGGGAAAAACUGUGGUGAUCGUUGAAGUGUUUUGGAGGGAAACAGCAGAGUUACAGUGCCUCGUGUAACAUCCUCUAGAGCAGCCUUGCUGUGUUUCAAAUAAUAUUCACAUUUCUGCCUGGCUUUCAGAAAGGUUUGUGUACCUGUGCUGCUUCUGGCUGGGUGAUAUUCCUGACCCACAGCUGGCCCUUCAGGCUUGUCUCAACAAAGAAGAUUUAUCAAAUGUGAGACAGUGUCUGAUUUCUCCAAGGCAGCAAAAGGAAGGGAACAAAGAUGAGUUUAGAAAACAACAAAUGUGGCUUUGGAAGGUUGUUAUCCCCACAGGCGGGUGCGAAGCACAGGGGUGGCUUUGGGAACUGCAGCACGAAGGACGAUAAUGAUGAUGGAAACCAAUGGCAGAUGCCUGCUUUGGGGGACAGGGAGGAACCAGGGGCAUCCAGGGGAACAGGCCGCUUGGGAGGAGCAAGGGCAGACAGCACAGCUGGGUUGGAAGGCAGUGCAGAUAAAUAACUGCUGGUGUGUUCAUGAAUGCGGGUCCUGGCUCCUGGCUGUGCACUGGCUCCUCAGCUACCAGCCAGGCUAAAAAUGCAUGGAAAAUAUCACUGUGGGAUGAGCCUCCCAGCUUGCCCUCUCCUGCUUGGGUG